rnacentral:rRNA from 1 species
CCAACCUGCCGCUUACUCGGGGAUAGCCUUUCGAAAGAAAGAUUAAUACCCGAUGGUAUAAAGAGUUCGCAUGUUCUCUUUAUUAAAGAAUUUCGGUAAGCGAUGGGGAUGCGUUCCAUUAGAUAGUUGCGGGGUAACGGCCCACCAAGUCUACGAUGGAUAGGGGGUUCUGAGAGGAAGGUCCCCCACAUUGGAACUGAGACACGGUCCAAACUCCUACGGGAGGCAGCAGUGAGGAAUAUUGGUCAAUGGACGAGAGUCUGAACCAGCCAAGUAAGGCGUGAAGGAUGACUGCCCUAUGGGUUGUAAACUUCUUUUAUAAGGGAAUAAAGUGAGGGACGUGUCCCUUUUUGUAUGUACCUUAUGAAUAAGGAUCGGCUAACUCCGUGCCAGCCGCCGC